UCAGUCGACUCCUACGGGGAGGCAGCAGUGGGGGAAUAUUGCACAAUGGGCGCAAGCCUGAUGCAGCCAUGCCGCGUGUAUGAAGAAGGACCUUCGGGUUGUAAAGUACUUUCAGCAGUGAGGAAGGCAGGUACGUUAAUAGCGUGCUUGUUUGACGUUAGCUGCAGAAGAAGCACCGGCUAACUCCGUGCCAGCAGCCGCGGUAAUACGGAGGGUGCGAGCGUUAAUCGGAAUUACUGGGCGUAAAGCGCAUGCAGGUGGUUUGUUAAGUCAGAUGUGAAAGCCCGGGGCUCAACCUCGGAAUUGCAUUUGAAACUGGCAGACUAGAGUACUGUAGAGGGGGGUAGGAAUUUCAGGUGUAGCGGUGAAAUGCGUAGAGAUCUGAAGGAAUACCGGUGGCGAAGGCGGCCCCCUGGACAGAUACUGACACUCAGAUGCGAAAGCGUGGGGAGCAAACAGGAUUAGAUACCCUGGUAG
rnacentral:rRNA from 1 species